GGAGAGGUACCCAAGAGGCUGAAGGGGCGGGUUUGCUAAACCUGUAGGGGGGCGCUUUUUUGCCCCCGCGAGGGUUCAAAUCCCUCCCUCUCCGCCA
rnacentral:tRNA from 1 species